AUUUUAUUAUUCAGACAUGUAUAUAUGUGUAUAUUUCUGUUUCAGAAAGAUUUAGUGACAAUAGAUUUUUUGAGAAUGGGAGCCAAUUUGAUGUUAAAUAAAAAAAUAAGAUCUACCUCAUGUUUAAAGCACUCUGCAAAUGUUACAGAAUAUUUUAAGAUCUUAUCUGAAUUAUUUCUGUCAGUAAAUGAAGGAAGAAGCUACUUCAAAUUCCCCCAGACAUUUCAUUUCUUUCAUCAAACAUAUCUUCAUACAUGUGCCCUAAUGUAUAUUAAAAAUUGCCAAGUAGAAAAUUGCAGUCACAAACUCAUUUUGAUUUUUUAUAGUUAUCUUUUCCAAAUGUUUGUAUACAAGACAUCACUAUACACUGCUGAGAUAAAUGCAUACAAGAAAAAAUGCAUAAAAAAUAAAUAAAAGCUUAACAUAAACUGGAAGAAGUUGGAUUCAUAUAGAUAAGGAGGUCACUAUUAGAUAAUACUCUAUGAGUAUCUGAGACUUUAACACUGCAUUAUUGAAUAGUUAAAACUGAUGGUUUUAUCUUUAUUCUACAUGUAUGAGAUGUAAACUGUGAAUGUCACUGAUGUUUAUGCUAUCUAAGGAGCUGCUGUCUUAUCUUUUGUUGGUUCUUAGCUCUAUAUUUUGAGAGGUCUCAUAGAAUUGGAGCAAUUCUCUAAACCUGCUUUCCAUGGGGUUCUGCUUCACUGAGAAGGUUUGGUGUUUUAAAUUAUAUGGAAGUUUUUCUAGGAGCUUUAUAUGCUUGAUGGCAGAAAGCUGAAGAGUCUUUGGAUGUGAUCUGGACAAUCUUGCCACCAACAUUGGGCUGAAUAGUUGAUGUGAGGUCAGUUUUCCUGCAGUAUGACUGAGGGUUCAUGCCAUUUUGGUGAAUCCAGACCAUGUAUUUUAGAGUAAAGACCUAAGGUGUGGUUCUAAGUGCUCUCACCUAGCAUGCAAUUUACACAUCCAAGGAGGGUGAAGCUUUAUUUUGUAAUACUGCACCACGAGGAAUGCCUUGAUUUGGCAAGCCAUUGUUUAUGGUCACUCCUUAUACUAAGAAGAAAAAGUUUAGCCUUCUUUCUGAUAGAAGCCAGAAUGUCCUACAGACAUUCAAGAUCUGAAUAGCUGAAGAAGACAAGGCCAGAAAGUAACACAAUAUUAAGAUGGUGAUGGUACUCUGUUGUGUUUUACUUUUCAAAAUAUGGUAGGACCUUAUGUGACUGAAGCUAUCUCCCUUGAUGAAACUAACAUGCAAAAGACAUUGGGUACAUUUUUCAUUAUACCUUGCCAAUCAAAUUUCCCAUCCUGAUUUUUUUUGGUUAAAAAUUAAUUAAUCAAAGUGUGUCAUAUUUCUCAGAAGGUGAAUUUUUUACAUUUCUGAGCUUAAAGCCAAUAGAAAGCUGGCACUAAUAACUUAAAAGUAAGUCAACCCUUUAUGUCAGUGACUAUUCAGAUAUUAAAGUCACAUAAUAUGUAGAGGACUUUGAAGAAUUCAUUUUCUUCAGCAGGAAUAGUGGUCCCACAGAGAAUCCUCAUUUAUAACUAGUAUCUCAAAUCUUGUGGUUGUAAAAAUGUUACCUGUCGAAUUUUAAAAUCAGGCCAGAUUUAUAGUUGCUGCAGCAGCAAGGCUGGAUUUUUCUGGCAUAAUAAAUUUUAUCAAAUAAUUGUUCCAUAUCUUUUACAAAAAUUAUUACACUAGUUAAGUUUAGAAUUUCUUUAGGCAUGCUUGAGGUUAUGUUUAAUCACAUUUAACCUAAUUUGGGAAGGCAGUUCUACAUUUAAAUACAUUUUAUACAACAUACAAAUUCCCACAUUAGAUUAUAUAAGAUUUGAGACAUCUAUAACCCAAUACUGAUCUAAAUUCCCAAGCAAGAAUAUACUAAAUAUACACUUAAUUGCUUGUAAUUAUUUAAGCAUAUUGAAAACAUUAAAAAAUUGUGAAUAUCCUUGAACACUUGGAAAAAAUUUUGUAUACAUGUAUAUAUGAAAAUACAUAUAUUUUCACAUUUAAAUGGGCCUACAUGUCUAGAAAAUCUUUAUAAAAAAGGAGGACAUAUACAUUGGUUACAUAGAAAAUAGGUGCGUACUAGCUAAAUAUGUCAGUUAGUCCCCUGUGAAUUCUGCAUAAGCUGAAGAAACCACAGAGCGCAUUACAUGUAUCAUGUACUUAAGCAUUAUUAAUUUUUAAAACUUUCUUGGAAAACGUUUGGGCAAUAAAACUAAAAAUUAAUAACUUCUAAAACCAUAAAUUAUUAAGACGUCCAUUUCUUGCUACAUCAUAGUAGCUUUUAUCAAAUCAACUAUCACACUGAGACAACAAGAAAGCCUAGAUUGAAGAACAAAGAAAGAAAACCAGGACCUGAAAAGUCAAGGCUACAGAGAGAGCAUAGGCUGACCUUGUCUACUGUGCUUUCCCCUCUGUGUGUUUCCUGAGUGUGUCAGAGAAGCCAAGCAGAAAGUAGAGACUGAACAGUUUUAAAAGUCUCCUGGGAAAAAUUAUAAUCAAGGAAUAAAAAAGUCAGCUAGGCCAAGGCCCUGGAAAAAGGGUACCACAGAGAAGUGAAACCAACAUUGUAUAGACAUUUGGUGCUGCAGGUCAGUUGUCUGGGUGGCCUUGGAGUGACCUAGUUCUCUCCCUUUUCUUGCUUGGAGUUCUCAGGAACAGCUGUAGAUUGUGAUGGGAAUGCAACGUCUUGAGUUAGGGAGGAACUACUCUGGUACAGCCUUGGCUUUACUCCACUUUUCCCUGGAAGCCAGAUGUCUUUCAAAGAUUUGCCUGAUGAGUUACGUGCCUCUGAUGUAUAUAAUCCAGGGUGGGCUUCCUGUUGGGGUUCCUCAGCUGUAAUGCAAGUGGGACAUGCUCAGUUGAGACUUCACUUGCCCUGUGCAGCUUUGUUGAGGCAUGGAGGGAUUGGCUCACAACAGAUCCUAAGCUUCUUUUGUCUCUUGCUGCCUAUCUGUGAGUAAUAAAUCUGUUGCACAUAACUUGUUGUGUGUAUGUUUUGUCUCACCAGACUCAGACAAAUGGUAAUUAGUAAACCUGCUUUACAAAAUUGACAUAGUGAGUAGAGGCUGGUCUGAAAGAACCAUGGCUUAUGGGCAAAGUAGGGGCAGCAAAUAACCCCCAGGCUGGCACUGGGGGUUACUGCUCUACCCACUUUGCCAAUAAGCAUCAGCCUGGGCAAACAGGGGCUGGAUGUGCAGCUGGAUGUUUGAUCAGGAAAGAAGGGUGAUAAGGUAGGCAUAGGUCACCUCCCCCACCCAGAUGUGUGAGCUGGUUGCUGAUUGAGGCAGAGAGAGAGGAAUGCAGAAACAGGGGAGCACGGCACAGGAUCCCCUGGCUUUGGACACUUAUGUGACUGUUCAUUCCUGGCUAGAGAACUGGGAAAGUGAGUACUCAGAAGAACCCUGAAAGGGAACUAACACGUGUGCUAUGUGGGCCUUCACAGAAAGAGAGACUCAUUAUCUAAAGCAUAAAUAUAGAGAAAGGCCAGAGGAAUCUCAUGCAGCCUGGUUGAUUUUUUUUUUUUUUAAAUCAAGGGACAUUGCAAAUCCAAAUGUCUCAGGCAGAAUGGUACAGUUAGAAAUGGGGCCAGUCAGCCUGAGAAAUUAGGUUCUCAACUGGAGGUCAAUGCCAAUGUCCCUAUAAUCCUGUUAAAACAAGAGGAGAAAAGAAAGGAACUCGGACUUUUCUGGGGGCUCUUGGAUAUUAGAGCCCACAUAACAAUACUUCCAGGUCCCCUUAGGGGAAAAAUUAAACUGAUGACCUCAGGAGAAUUGGGGACAAAUAUGUGACUCGCAGUACUUAUUUGCUUAUGCUUGGGGUCCUUUGAGCCAUUUCAGGUGCCAGAGACUGUGGUUCCCAUAGCUGAGUACAUGAGAGUUGUGAGACAAAGUAGCAAGCAUCAUGCAUCCCUUAAAUAUAUACACCUACUAUGUGCCCACAAACAUAAAAAAUAAAAAGAAGCCAUGUGUAUAAGUCAGGGUUCUGUAGAGGGACAGAACUAAUAGGCGAUAUGUAUAUAUAGCCUAUUUUGUAUAUAUAUAUAUCACCUAUUAUAUAUAUAGGAGUUUAUUAAAGAGUAUUAAACUAAUACGAUCACAAGGUCCCACAAUAGGCCGUCUGCAAACUGAGGAGCAAGGAAGCCAGCCCGAGUCCCAGAGCUGAAGAACUUUAAGUCCUAUGUUUAAGGGCAGGAAGCAUUCAGCACAGGAGAAACAUGUAGGCUGGGAGGCUAAGACAGUCUAGUCUUUUCACAUUCUUCUGCUUGCAAUUUAUCCUAGUCAUGCUGGCAGCUGAUUAGAUUGUGUCCACCCAGAUUAAGGCUGAGUCUGUCUUUUCCAGUUCACUGACUCAAAUGUUAGUCUCCCUUGGCAACACCCUCACAGAUACACCCAGAAUCAAUACUUUGCAUCCUUCAAUCCAAUCGAGUUGACACUCAGUAGUAACCAUCACACUAUGCUCAUUUCUGCUUUCCAGCAUGAUUUCACAAAGCCCCUGACUCUGUGAUGAUGUGCAGCUCUCAGAAAGACGCUUUAAAGACAAAACAGGAUAGACCACUCCCACCCCCAUGCCUCUUGCCCUAGUCACUGUAUUCCUUAGAAGAUAAAUAAUCCUAGUCCUUUCCUCUUCUACAGAUAAGAUAAUGUCUGACAGGGUUAGUGAUUAUGCCUCUGUAAUCUAUAGCCAGAUGUACUCUUACACCCAAACCUUGAUCUGAUUCUGCUCUAAUAUAACUUCUGAACAAGUUUAAUACAAUUUUACAUGUACUAAACACUUACCAUCUCUAUAUAAGCAUUGGGCUAAAAUACUGUGCCAAACAGUCUAAUAAAAACCCUCCACAGGGCUGCCACCAGGCUAUAGGCCUUGGUCUAUAGUCCUCAAUAAAACUUAUAAAUAAAACCCACCGUAACUCUUUAAAAGCUUUUUUUUUCUUUAGUUGACAUACGCAUUGACACUCUGGCUGCUUGUGGAACAGAAUAUCACCACAUCAUAGCCAAGAAUUCGAGCCUAACAGUGGAACAUAUCCACUUCAGCCUGCCACCUAAGCUACCCAAGUCCCAAGUUUCUUCCGCAAAAGCAGUACUGCAAGCUAAGUGGAAAAUAGGGUAUUAUUUUGCUAAUUCAGGCCUUGCUACACACUACACUAUCACAAUGUAACAGCCUCUUCUGGCUGGUCAAAAAGGCCUUUGGGGCACAGAGACUAACAAUGGACUGUCCAGGCUGAAUGCCAGAGUCACUUGGGCAGGAUGCCAAAAAGGUAUUCCAGAGACAGUGAAAUAAAUAUUUUUAACCCUGGAGGUACUCACUAAUAAAAAGGAGGCCUAAUAGCUGGCAGGCAUCUUUGGGUACUAGAGACAGUAUGUACCCCACCUGGGUGUUCUGUUGGUCCCCUUAGUCAGGUGACCAGCAAAGCUACUAACUUUAAGUGGAACCCUUUGCAGCAGCAGGCUUUGGAAGCCAUUCAAUGAGCUGUGGCCCAGGCACUGACUUUAAAAGCUUUAAAGCCUGCUACCCUGAUGAAAUGACAUGUGUGCAUAACCACUCUGCAUGUGGAUUGGAGUCUGUGGCAACAGAAAAUUGCCAAUGGGGUGUGCAAGCCUCUUGGAGUUUGGACAUGUAAGUUGCCUGAGGCCGCCUGCAGAUACACCUCUUUUGAAUGACAACUCCUUGCUUGCCAUUGGACACUAAAGGAGACUGAGCAUCUUGUGACUGAACUGCCACAAAAGACACUGCAACUUGAACUGUCCAUUCUCACCUGGGCACUCACAAACCUUGCCAAUGAAAUUGGACAGGCUCAAUACAGCUCAAUGAUCAAAUGGAUAGGAUACAUUCAAAAGAUUGGGCUUAGCAGCCAAGAGACCAGUAGGCUCCAUGAGCAAGUGGCUAACUUGCCAGAAGGGACUAAACAACAUGUAGGGGAUGUUUUGGAUCCUCCUAUGGAUACCUGGGGCCCAAGACUGAGACGUGCCUACUGACAGUAUGACAUGGCUUGUUUACUGAUGGCUCUUCCAAAUGGCAAGCAGGCAGGGUUCCCUGGGCUGUGGUAGCCAUCUAGCCAGUGGAUAGGUAUCUCAUGGCUGAGACUGGACAUGGGCAUUUUGAACAAUGGGCCAAACUACAUGCAGUGGUGAUAGCCACAUAGACUUCCUCUACCACCCUAUCUUGCUACAUUUUCACUGACUCAUCAGCUGUUGCCAACAACCUAGACAUCUCGUCAGAAGAAAGGCAACUAAGUGGAUGGAUUAUUAAAGGACAAGUACUAUUACAAUAACUUGCUGUCUGGAAUGGGAAAGUAUAUAUGUCACUCAUGUGGAGGAUGGGACUAACAUAGCUUCUCUUAAAAGGAACACAUGUCAUGUUUUUGAUUACCCCACGGAACUUCACUCUGACCAAGGAAUGGUUACUACCCAAAUAACACAACAAUGUGUGCAUUCUCCUAAAAUACAAUGGACUUUCCAUACACUUUGUCAUCCUCAGGCCAAUGGAGCUGUUGAAUGGUGGUGGAGCCAACUCACAAAACAACUGAAGAAAUGACAUCAAGAUGGCCUGCUAAUGGAGUGACAACCCCUUCUGACUAGAGCAAUGUGGUCACUAAACACUGCACUCUAAUCCAAGGGAAACAUGGUACUGCAGCUCAAGUUGACAGAGCUUGGUGGAGGUGGAGGUGGACUAAGUAGCUGCCUGGAGGUUGACAGAGAUGCAGAGCUUGGUGGAGGUGGAGGUGGACUAAGUAGCUGCCUGAUUAGGCUGUGCCUGCAAAAUCCCAAUUCCAGUGUUCCAAACUAUGAUUUUUGUUCUUCCCCUUUACAGUGCAUGUCCUGGAGGGUGGUUUGCAGUUUAGGCCACCCUAGUACCCCAGACAAGGCUCCCUAACUUCAAGGUGAUACUUCUCCUGGGUUCUUCUCCUCUAUGGGAUUCCACAGAGGUGGAGAACAAGACCAAGGAAUACCAGGAUGCUAGGGUUCCCCUGGAGGCAGGGAGCGUUUAAUCCUUCCAGUAUAGUGGAUGUUAUCAGACAUGUCAAGUUAAUACAGGAUAUAACCUCCCUUCCUAGGCUGGAUGACACAGGCCCAAAGGUCUGGGUCAAGCAACAAGAAUAAUGAGUGAUCACAAAGGUAUUAGCCUUGGGACUGGGGCAGACAGAUGGGUUCACUACACCAACUCAGCCCAACCCUUAUGCAAUAGGUAGGGGAUACCUGAGAUCCUGGGAGGGUAGAGGGGUGGGAAACUAACUUGUUAAUCUGCUUUUUCCACGAGGACAGGGUAGUACAGGCCUAGAAAUAUAAUAUCAUUUUUAGGCUCUCCCAGACUGUGGCAAUGUGGAUAAUCUGAUAAAGUGUUGGAUCUUUCAUAUGGGCCUCAUUCUGUCACAGACCACAGUUACCUGCCAGUGAUAAAACCACACCAGCAUUCCUUAAUGCCACAGUGUACACUAACAGAACCUGAGCAGCCCUAGCUUAUUGAAUGAGGAUCUGGUACCUGUUGCAUGGGAGAGAGCAGAAGGUUCUCUGUUUUAACUUAUAACUGACUGUGUGGCAAAAUAUCACAACUAUAACUAAACAGAAUCUUGGUGGGCUUGUGCUCUGAUGCACUAAGCUCCUCUGAUUACAUGGAUCAGAAAUGUUACAGUGGUAAUAAAGAAAACAAGAACUGGACCAGUGCUAGUCCUCUGCAUAGGAGUUUCAUGAACAAUAUUAUAUGAAGGAAAUUGGGCUCAUGCAACUAUGCCAUCAAUGAGACUUGGCUGGGAAAUGUCAAUGCCUCUUUACCAAUGAGUGGCUCACUGAACAAAGAAACAAAGAAAGGGGUGCUGUGUGUGCCCAAGCGUUGCAUCUCUCUCUGCAGGUGGCUGGGGAUGGCCUAGAUACAGGAUAGACAAUGCCAUGCCUGUAAAGCUGGUAGCUGGUGGGAUCCUGCACAUUGGGUGUACUAGGGGUGCCCCUAGAUAUCACCCUGGGAAGGAGAUGCUCCAUUAGGCCAGUGGCCUUAAGCUUUUACACAGGCUUACUAGGAACCCACCAGGAGGUGGGAUUGACUUUGGGUUUAUGUCCUUUAUUAGAUCUUUGAUGUCACACAUGAGUUGGUACUCAUAAAAAAGUAGUAAGAACCCUGCCUCUGACCAUGCAGAUAUUGCUUUUCCACUGCCACUGUCUUGGAAGCCCUAGACAUCCCCCAGAUUCCUCAGGAAAGUUGUUUUAGACAGUGGAAUUGCCCGAGACUUUCUUUUAGCUCAAUUGAGAGGAGUGUAUGUGUUUGGCAAUUCCUACUGCUGUAGCUAGAUAAACACCUUAGGUACAGUAGAGACAUAAGUAGAGGAGAUCUGGAAGCAGGUCCACUGGCUACAAACAGUGGGGCUAUCUGAUAAUCCUUCUUUGCCUUUUUUUUUUAGCAACUUCUUACCUGAGACACUGGUAUCCUGGAUUAGGUCACUGCCUCAAGCAGGUCUGGCUGUCCUGCUAGUGGUGUAGUCCUUUGGGAUCCAGUAAAGGAUUUUCUGUCUGUUACUCAACAGUGUUGCACUGAGUUUGGGUCAGUCAAGGUGCUACAUCAGUCUGGCUAGAUAAACCUCUUCCUCCAGAUCCAGAGAGGUUGGUGGGCAUUUGAAAUGCACUGACUUUGCUACGAGAGAUGUCUGGCUAGAGGGGUAGACCUUAGGACAAUUCUCCAGGUGGCCUUGGACAUACCUAGUUAUCCCUGUUUCUUGCUUGUAGUUCUCAAAAAUAACUAUAGAAUGUGCUGGGAAUGCAACAUCUUGAGUUAGGGAGGAACUGCUCUGGUACAGCCUGGGCUUUACUCCUCCUUCCUGUGGAAGCGAGAUAUCCUUCAAAGCUUUGCCCAGUGAUCAUGCGGCCCCUGGGUUAUAUAACUCAGAACAGGCUGCCAGCUGUGUUUCCUCAGCUGCAGUGCAAGUGGGGCAUGCUCCGUUGAGACUUUAUUCACUCUGGGCAGUUUGUUGAAGAUUAGGUGGUCAGCUCACAAUGAAUCAUAAGCUGCUUUUGUCCCUUGCUGUCUAUGCUUAGAAGCUAAAAGGUUAAGCAGCGAUGUCAGCGCUAUCAGGGAGCUGUGGAGACUGGAAUUGAAGUUCAGAACCUUUCAUGGGAGACAGCUCAGAGAUGACCUACCCAUAGAAGAGAAAUCUGGCAGUCUGGCCACAGCAGCUUUGCUGACCUGCAGUGGGAUCCGACCAGUUGGAACUUCCCAGCGGCUUUGUUUACACUGUGAGCUGUGGAGCAUAAAACUGCCUACUCAAGCCUCAGCAAUGGUGGACGCCCCUCCCCACACCAAGCUCAAAUGUCCUGGGUAGAUCUCAGACUGCUGCUGUGCUGGCAGUGAGAAUUUCAAGCCAGUGGAUCUUAGUUUCCUGGGCUCCGUGGGGUUGGGACCUGCCAAGCCAGACCACUUGGCUCCCUGGCUUCAGCACCCCUUUGCAGGGGAGUGAACGGUUCUGUCUCACUGGCGAUCCAGGUGCCACUAGGGUAUGGAAAAAAAGAACUCCAGCAGCUAGUUCACUCACUGCCCAAAUGGCCGCCCAGUUUUAUGCUUGAAACCCAGGGUCCUGGUGGGGUAGGCACUGGAGGGAAUCUCCUGGUUUGUGAGUUGUGAAGACCAUGGGAUAAGCGCAGUAUCUGUGCUGGAGUUCCUCAGGCUCAGUCCCUCAUGGCUUCCCUUGGGUAGGGGAGAAAAAUCUCCCGAUCCCUUGCGCUUCCCAGGAGAGGCGAUGCUCCGCCCUGCUUCAGCUCACCCUCGGUGGGCUUCACCCACUGUCCUACCAGUCCCAGUGAGAUGAACCGGGUACCUCAGUUGGUAAUGCAGAAAUCACCCACCUUCUGCAUCGAUC
rnacentral:lncRNA from 1 species